CCUACGGGUGGCUGCAGUGAGGAAUAUUGGUCAAUGGACGCAAGUCUGAACCAGCCAUGCCGCGUGCAGGAAGACGGCUCUAUGAGUUGUAAACUGCUUUUGUACGGGGAUAAACUCAGAUACGCGUAUCUUUCUGCAUGUACCUUACGAAUAAGGAUCGGCUAACUCCGUGCCAGCAGCCGCGGUAAUACGGAGGAUUCAAGCGUUAUCCGGAUUUAUUGGGUUUAAAGGGUGCGUAGGCGGUCGGAUAAGUUAGAUGUGAAAUCCCGAGGCUCAACUUCGGAAUUGCCUUUGAUACUGGUCGGCUAGAGAGUAGUUGCGGUAGGCGGAAUGUAUGGUGUAGCGGUGAAAUGCUUAGAGAUCACACAGAACACCGAUUGCGAAGGCAGCUUACCAAGCUACUUCUGACGUUGAGGCACGAAAGCGUGGGUAUCGAACAGGAUUAGAUACCCUUGUAGUC
rnacentral:rRNA from 1 species